GCAAUUGUGCCUGGAACCUCCAGCAACUUAAAUCAAGCCUCUUCCCAUUUAACUUUCAAAUUGCUGUUUUCUACAAUGAACCUUAAACUUUUAAUACUCAAGUCAGCAAAAGCAU